AACGAACGCUGGCGGCAGGCUUAACACAUGCAAGUCGAGCGGGCGUAGCAAUACGUCAGCGGCAGACGGGUGAGUAACGCGUGGGAACGUACCUUUUGGUUCGGAACAACACAGGGAAACUUGUGCUAAUACCGGAUAAGCCCUUACGGGGAAAGAUUUAUCGCCGAAAGAUCGGCCCGCGUCUGAUUAGCUAGUUGGUGAGGUAACGGCUCACCAAGGCGACGAUCAGUAGCUGGUCUGAGAGGAUGAUCAGCCACAUUGGGACUGAGACACGGCCCAGACUCCUACGGGAGGCAGCAGUGGGGAAUAUUGGACAAUGGGGGCAACCCUGAUCCAGCCAUGCCGCGUGAGUGAUGAAGGCCCUAGGGUUGUAAAGCUCUUUUGUGCGGGAAGAUAAUGACGGUACCGCAAGAAUAAGCCCCGGCUAACUUCGUG
rnacentral:rRNA from 1 species